rnacentral:rRNA from 1 species
CCUACGGGUGGCUGCAGUGAGGAAUAUUGGUCAAUGGGAGGAAUCCUGAACCAGCCAUGCCGCGUGCAGGACGACGGCUCUACGAGUUGUAAACUGCUUUUGUACCGGGGUAAAAUGCUCUACGAGUAGGGUUUUGCAAGUACGGUACGAAUAAGGAUCGGCUAACUCCGUGCCAGCAGCCGCGGUAAUACGGGGGAUCCGAGCGUUAUCGGGAUUCAUUGGGCUUAAGGGGAGCGUAGGCGGGCGUUAAAGUCAGCGGGAAAAUCGCGCGGCUAAACCGCGCCCCGAAGUUGAAACUGGACGGCUUGAGUGCACAACAGGCAGGCGGAAUUCGUGGUGUAGCGGUGAAAUGCAUAGAUAUCACGAGGAACCCCGAUUGCGAAGGCAGCCUGCCGGGGUGCGACUGACGCUGAGGCUCGAAGGUGCGGGUAUCAAACAGGAUUAGAUACCCCAGUAGUC